rnacentral:lncRNA from 1 species
UCACAAACGCUAACCCCCAGCUUCCACACCCGGAGGAGGUGCUGAUCCUAUAGACCUAAGCAAGAGGCCCAUAAAGCAACAUUGAACAAAAGAAAGAAGCUCCUGGAUGUGUAAUGGCCUGCAGGCACUGGACAGAGAUGGCCCAAGACAGUGGGUCUCAGCCUCGCUGCUCACUAGGCUUACCAGGGGAGCAUUAAGAAACAACAUCAUCAUCAUCAACAACAAAAAACUUAAGUGUUCAGUUUCUACCAUAGAGUAGCUAAAUCGGAGAGGCUCGGAGGGAGCCAGGUGGCAGUAGUUUUUAAUGUCUUGCUAGCGAUUCCAAUGUGCAGAUGUGGACAGGAAACGGCAGCCUAAGCAAUGAAGAGGAACGGAACUGAGUAAAACAGGGCCCGGCAGCCCACCUGGAUGCCAAAAGCACAAUAACCAGGCCGCCCUGCCCACUCUGCAGCUGGCUCUCACGGUGGUUGCCUCCUGCCUUUCAGUCUGACUGGCUCCUUUGAGGUCAUGUUUGGGUUCAGGCUAAAUGCGAUAGUUGGUAGUAGGUCCGCCAAGGUUGGGGACAUCAAGGCACUUAAUGGAGAACUGUUUUGCCCUGCUUCCCCGGCCUCUACCACAGCGCUUCCUCCCCAGCCUGCAUCAUGGACUCCAUCUCCGUUUGUCUUCAUAUACUCUUGUGUUUGGCCAUUGUGUGUCAGGCUGUGCCUCUGUACCCAAGGUCAUGCAGUAGGGUGACUAGAACAUAGCUAGGGAGUGAAAAGUGUCUUGGUAGUGACAGUCGUGAUGCAACAGCUUCCAAAUUUCUCUGUGGAGGGUGGCCCUUCCUGGAUGAAAUCUGGGAGGCUACAGUGUGACUCAGACUCCUGCUGUAAGCCCUCAUCAUUUUCUUUGGCCCUGUGCUGGAUAGGCAGCAAGGAAGCUGCAAGCUGGCUCUGUUUUCUGGUGCUUUCUCCAGAACUUGCUGCUCUGAGAAACCAAAGCUGUGAACAGGCGAAUGCUCUCCCAGGUGUUUGUCAUGGAUGGGCCCGCACCGCCUGGACAGUAGAGAAGCUUUCUCUGCUGGAAGGAGAAGGCAUGAGAACCGGGGAAAGGUGGACAAGGUGGAGGGAGCCUGAGGAGGAAGGGGCAAGGCAGGAGAGACUCCCCAGUUGCUUCUCCAUUUCCCAGAGGGAAAGGGGGAGGGGGCACAUUCAUAGGCAGGAUGGCCUUCUAGCAAGAACCCCAGAAGUCCGUAGAGCCUGCAGAGGAACUGUGGUUUUCUACCCUUGCCUUCAGUCUGUCAAGUGUCAGCUUUCCUGAGGUCCAUCCCCUUCCAGUUAAAACAGGAGAGGUGGUACCAAUACUCCUGGCGCUGGGCGUCUGUGCCACUGUGUCACUUGGCAUGAGACAAGGAGGGAGAAGCGAAGAGGAGAGAUGGCUUUCUGUCCCUGUGGCUUCUCAAAGACUCUACAGGAUGCCGUAGGGGCACAAUGGGAUACGUCAGGAUGGGACUCCGGGCCUCGCCAGGUUUUGGGUUUGGGGUCCUCUCAAUAAACUGUUUAUUUCUUGAACUUAACCCCUCUGCUCCUUCCCCUCUGCCAGGUUACAAGGCGAGUAGGCCCUACAUAGGCCCCAACCACAGUAGCCUUAGCUGGUCACUCACGGAGCACAACGCAGCUCAUCUGCCCUAUAAACCGCUUGGCCGACGAAUCCUCAUUGAGUUCUUUCAUUACCAUGUAAAGUGAAAUACACUCACUCACCUUUACUAUACACAGGCUGUGAGAACAUAAUAAACAAAACCUGAACAAGC